rnacentral:lncRNA from 1 species
UGGAUGCUUUUUUUUUUCUUUUUCUUUUUUUUCGGAGCUGGGGACCGAACCCAGGGCCUUGCGCUUGCAAGGCAAACGCUCUACCACUGAGCUAAAUCCCCAACCCCCAUGGAUGCUUUUAAAAUACCAUUCUAACUUGAAAAUUGUUGGAAUAGGAAGUGCUGGGUGCAUAUUCAAUAAUCUAAAAGUUGCCCCUCCCCCCUGAGAAAACAGUUUAAACUUCUAUAGCUGGCUCACUGCACGGGGUCAGCCAGUCACAGCGCCAUGGAUGCGCUGGUAAUGAAAUGUUGGGCACGCUGUCCUGAGCCCCCACUCUCUUGGCUGUAAGGCAGCAUGGAGGGUAGUGGGUAGACUACAGCAUGUGGGUGUCCCACAUCUAUGCUCACUGAAUUCAUACUGUCCAGUCCUAAGAACCUGCUGUGACUAGUCCAGCAACCAAAAUGGUGAUGUCAGCGGGGGUGGGUGUUACCUUGAAGCAACAAGAGCUUUAGAGAAGAGGGACAGACUUGAGCAUGUGACAGGCUGGCGGGCAGCAAGCACUGUCACUCUGUAGCCUGAACACACCUGUUUGUUUUUAAAAGAAAGAAAAUAA